rnacentral:rRNA from 1 species
UACGUAGGGCGCAAGCGUUGUCCGGAAUUAUUGGGCGUAAAGAGCUCGUAGGCGGUUUGUCGCGUCUGCUGUGAAAACCUCAGGCUCAACCUGGGGCUUGCAGUGGGUACGGGCAGACUAGAGUGCGGUAGGGGUGAUUGGAAUUCCUGGUGUAGCGGUGGAAUGCGCAGAUAUCAGGAGGAACACCGAUGGCGAAGGCAGGUCACUGGGCCGCAACUGACGCUGAGGAGCGAAAGCAUGGGGAGCGAACAGG